rnacentral:rRNA from 1 species
AAAACCAAGACGAACGCUGGCGGCGUGCUUAACACAUGCAAGUCGAACGGUAAGGCCCUUCGGGGUACACGAGUGGCGAACGGGUGAGUAACGCGUGAGUAACCUACCCUUGACUCUGGGAUAACAGAUGGAAACGUCUGCUAAUACCGGAUACUCAGCCUUGUGGGCAUCCACAUGGCUGGAAAGCUCCGGCGGUCAAGGAUGGACUCGCGUCCUAUCAGCUUGUUGGUGAGGUAACGGCCCACCAAGGCGACGACGGGUAGCCGGCCUGAGAGGGCGACCGGCCACAUUGGGACUGAGAUACGGCCCAG